rnacentral:rRNA from 1 species
AGGCGGCGGCUUACCAUGCAAGUCGAGCGGAGCGAGGGUGCUUGCACCUUAGCUUAGCGGCGGACGGGUGAGUAAUGCUUAGGAAUCUGCCUAUUAGUGGGGGACAACAUUCCGAAAGGAAUGCUAAUACCGCAUACGCCCUACGGGGGAAAGCAGGGGAUCUUCGGACCUUGCGCUAAUAGAUGAGCCUAAGUCGGAUUAGCUAGUUGGUGGGGUAAAGGCCUACCAAGGCGACGAUCUGUAGCGGGUCUGAGAGGAUGAUCCGCCACACUGGGACUGAGACACGGCCCAGACUCCUACGGGAGGCAGCAGUGGGGAAUAUUGGACAAUGGGCGGAAGCCUGAUCCAGCCAUGCCGCGUGUGUGAAGAAGGCCUUUUGGUUGUAAAGCACUUUAAGCGAGGAGGAGGCUACUAGUAUUAAUACUACUGGAUAGUGGACGUUACUCGCAGAAUAAGCACCGGCUAACUCUGUGCCAGCAGCCGCGGUAAUACAGAGGGUGCGAGCGUUAAUCGGAUUUACUGGGCGUAAAGCGUGCGUAGGCGGCUUUUUAAGUCGGAUGUGAAAUCCCCGAGCUUAACUUGGGAAUUGCAUUCGAUACUGGGAAGCUAGAGUAUGGGAGAGGAUGGUAGAAUUCCAGGUGUAGCGGUGAAAUGCGUAGAGAUCUGGAGGAAUACCGAUGGCGAAGGCAGCCAUCUGGCCUAAUACUGACGCUGAGGUACGAAAGCAUGGGGAGCAAACAGGAUUAGAUACCCUGGUAGUCCAUGCCGUAAACGAUGUCUACUAGCCGUUGGGGCCUUUGAGGCUUUAGUGGCGCAGCUAACGCGAUAAGUAGACCGCCUGGGGAGUACGGUCGCAAGACUAAAACUCAAAUGAAUUGACGGGGGCCCGCACAAGCGGUGGAGCAUGUGGUUUAAUUCGAUGCAACGCAAAGAACCUUACCUGGUCUUGACAUACAGAGAACUUUCCAGAGAUGGAUUGGUGCCUUCGGGAACUCUGAUACAGGUGCUGCAUGGCUGUCGUCACCUCGUGUCCUGAGAUGUUGGGUUAAGUCCCGCACCGACCCAACCCUUUUCCUUAUUUGCCAGCACUUCGGGUGGGAACUUUAAGGAUACUGCCAGUGACAAACUGGAGGAAGGCGGGGACAACUUCAAGUCAUCAUGGCCCUUACGACCAGGGCUACACACGUGCUACAAUGGUCGGUACAAAGGGUUGCUACCUCGCGAGAGGAUGCUAAUCUCAAAAAGCCGAUCGUAGUCCGGAUUGGAGUCUGCAACUCGACUCCAUGAAGUCGGAAUCGCUAGUAAUCGCGGAUCAGAAUGCCGCGGUGAAUACGUUCCCGGGCCUUGUACACACCGCCCGUCACACCAUGGGAGUUUGUUGCACCAGAAGUAGCUAGCCUAACUGCAAAGAGGGCGGUUACCACGGUGGCCGAGGGU